rnacentral:rRNA from 1 species
GAGCACGUAGGUGGGUUUGUAAGUCAGAUGUGAAAGCCUUCUGUUCAACGGGAGAAUUGCAUCUGAAACUGCUAAUCUUGAGUAUAGGAGGGGAGAAUGGAACUUUUGGUGGAGCGGUGAAAUGCGUAGAUAUCAGAAGGAACGCCGGCGGCGAAAGCGAUUCUCUGGCCUAUUACUGACACUCAGUGUGCGAAAGCUAGGGGAGCAAACGGGAUUAGAUACCCCGGUAGCCUGCUAU